AGGUCAUUGAGCUUAUCCUCUUCCCAGGCUGAUUUGUUCCACUGUAACCAGCUCUACUUCUGAAGGGCCGCUGUGCUUUGCAGCAAGGAAAAAUCUCUGGAAACAAGACCCAAGGCAGCCCAAUGUGCCUGAAAGCAUGUGUAGCUUUUCCAAGUGCUCCAGCUGACCUAAUAAACGGUGUCCCCUCUCCCUGCCCUUGCCUCACUUACAUCUUGCACCGUGCUCUCUUCGACGCCUCUGUGCUUGUUCCUGCUCUGCUGAGCCCACAAAUAAAGGCACAGCCUCGAGGAGCUGCUGUGGGAGGUGCUCCACUGGCCCAGUUUGGAGGGGGGAAGCACAGGCAUCGUGUGGUGGAGCUGCUCAGUCUGUAAACCAUCCAUCCCACCUCGCCUCUGCCGUGUGGCAGGGACUGGUGGGAAGUGAGUGAAGCUGCUGGUGACACUGGAGACCAGGGAGCAAGGCUGACCUGAUGAUCAUCUCGUUAGAUGCAUCCCAAAGCCCUUCCCAGGCUGAUUUCCUUGGCCUCUGCUGCUGCUGUUGGAAGAAUCCUGCUCACUCAGCUCUCCCACCAUGCCCAUCAAACCUCAGAAAAGGAGGAUGGAUGGGAAGGAGGAUCACCCUGCUCACAUACAACAAAGGUCGCGGGUCAGUUAAAUACAUGCACUGUCUGCACCGAGUCCUGCACGGUGCCAGUGCCCUUCUCGUGGGACAGGCAGAAACAAGCCCCCAGACAAGCCCCCUCGCCGCCCGUGACGCAGAGACACAAAGAUGUGCAUCACUCACCAGGUCAGCGUCGCACUCUCUCUUGCAAGUGCUCUGCGCGUCGACCCACAGGUUGGGGUUCAUGUCAUUGGGGCAUAUCCCAGCGUGGGAAUACCGGAUUGGGGGCAGAGCUCUCCCUUUCAGAGAGACCUCCAGAAGCAAGAGGACACUGCUCUUCCCCAGCAAGAUCCACAUCCACCGAGUGAACAGCACCAACAACAUCUCAGAACUUCUCCAGGGCAGUGGCAGUGUCCGAGCUGGAAGUAGUUCUUGCUUGCUUGGGGUUGCUUUUUUUUGGCAAGCCUUAAAUUUUUGAGGAACCCAGAUGCACCUGACCUCAGUAAAAGCUUCAGCGAGCUCCUCUGCUGCCUCUGUCGAUAGUGCAGUUUGGUCUGGACCUCAUUGGAUUAAAGGUCCUAGGAAGUUAUCCCCUUAUUUUAAGAGAAACGCUACUAGUCUGAGCAGAGUUAGCUCUAUUUAUACCCUGCCUCUGUUAACAAGUCAGAAAAAGUAAACUUGAUUUCUUUGACAGGCACACGCUUCCUAUGUCCUGGUGGCAGUCAGACAGAUUUGUUGCAAGAAAAAAAAGCUGGAAAGAGUUCAAAAGGCUGGAACUGGCAUGGUGGGACCCCUGCAUGUUUCUGAAUGCAGGGAGGCCUUCUUAACCCCUUUAGACCUAAAGUACUUCCCUAUGCUAAGAAUGGCAUUUACUUCUGAAAGGGGACUUGUCUAAAUAACACGGACCUGCGGUCAGGGGAUUUCCCCACGGCAAGGGGCUGCACAAUCACUUGCUAAAAGGAACAAGUAAUAGGAUUGAAGCAAUUAAAGCCAAAAUAUCAUAUUUUAACAGAGGAAGUAGGGGAAGAAAUAACUUAUUUAAACGUAGGAUUGACAAAGCAGAAUGUCUUCAUAACUUCUCCCGGGGCUCCUCUGGGCUUUUUUCUUCUGUGGUGGGGAGAUUUCCAGGAUGCCAGGUUUAAUGCUGCCCUCCAGCCCCACCAGGAAGAUGUUAAAAGUGUCCCUGAAUUCCUCUACAUUUCCUGACAGCCAGAUCCCAUUGUACAGUGCAUUGCUGACCCCUUUAACAGCAACAACAAAAAAAUAGUAGAAGUUCAACACUAUGGAAACCUGCAUAAAGGAAUGUACAGCAUUUUUGCAUUGGGGGGUGGGAGGGAAACUCAGUCAAGCUGAGUUCCUCAUUCCCUGAUUAUUACAGCAAGGGGCUGAUCCUGCUCAUGCUGAACAUGUGCCAAAAUCCAGAGAUGAGUGGCAGAAGUCCGAGUUGCUCAGCACCUUCCAGGAUUAGAGCCUCUGGGCUGAGUUCUGGGCCAGCCUGGGUGGGCCCUGUGUGUUGCUAAGAGCCUCCUGGGAGGAUCAGACCAAGGAUCCCUUGUCCAGAGGCACAUUUCAGCUGUGGGGGAGCAGAGUGGGGCUCUGAAGAAACAGACACAUGUUUGCAUCAGACAGACAGAGCUAUGUCCUCCUCCAUCCAGAGGGAUAUUCUCCAAGGACAGGCAAGUCCCACUGCAGCUUUCUGCUUUUGGGCUCCUAGGUAUCAUGUUCCUGGAUCACUCCCUUGGCCACUUGAACACAGCCAGGAGAGAGGAAAACACUGCCAUAAAUCUCCCUGUGAAUGCAGGCAGGCAGCUCCUGAGGGCAGAGGAGGCAGUGAGGACUCCAAGCAACCCUUGACAGCUGCCCUGUCCCUGCCAGGACAUCCCAGACGUGCUGUUACCCAACCUGAGGAGCACAUCCAGGAGGGACACCACAGGCUACCCUGGGCUGGCUCAGGGACAGUAAGGACUCUGGUUGUCCCAGCAUGGACAGCCAAGCUCUACCUAAUGCACUCACUGUCUCCUCAGUUUCAUCAGGCUGUUUUCUUGCCUGGUUUAACUUAGUUGAACUCUGCUGACCUCAGUGGAUCUGACUGGGGACUCCAGAACAACACCAGCUAAUGCCAGCUGUGAAUCAGGGUCUCUGUCAAGGUCCCUGGGCACAGUUUCUCUGUUCCUCCUUGUUUAUAAAGCACUGUGCAUUUUUUCUUUAAUAUAAGCAAUAAAGGAACCCUGGUUCUCCAUUUCUAUGAGCAAAUCUAUUAUGAAAACCAAAUUUAUGGCUUAUCUUCUCUCAUCCAUGUCAGAUACUGAUGUGAUAAAGAUCUUCCCAAAUGAGAUUCAGCCUUAGAAGGAACCCCACUACUACACAAAAAUCCCUCUCUCUGAUCAAGAUGUUGAACUGAGUCUGCUGGAUGAGGAGCUGGGAUGAGCUUCUCUGGACCUUGGAUGGACAAACCUGAGCCCCGAUGGCACAAAGACAACAUCCUGGGUCUGCUCCCAGCAGUGAGGACAUGCAAUCUCUGACCAGCCUGUGCUCCACAGAUGUCCAUCCACCACUACACACCAGUCCCGAAAAGCCCUCCUAGGAUGCCCAGGAUCCUAACUGUUGUUGAGUUAUUUGUAAAUUGUAAUUUCUUUGCCUUUUUUCUUACUCUUACCAAGCUUCUAUGGGUUGUCCCUCCCCUCCUCUGCUGUGCCAAGAAUUGACCCAGUGUUUGGUGUGACCCCUUUUAAUUGAGGAGGGAAACAGGAUUCUCUGCUGCACAGAAAACUAUAAUUGUAUUUGGUUGGAUUUUUUUUUUCUGAAGCCACUGUUAAAGGAGCAGCAAACCGUUGAUCAUAUUUACGAGCAAUCCUCAUCUGGAG